rnacentral:sRNA from 1 species
CUUGGUCAUUUAGAGGAAGUAAAAGUCGUAACAAGGUCUCCGUUGGUGAACCAGCGGAGGGAUCAUUACCGAGUACUAUAACUCAUAACCCUUUGUGAACCUUUAUACCUGUUGCUUCGGCGGCGCGCCUCCCGGGGCGUACCCGCCGGCAUUAUCAGAAUCUCUGUUCGAACCCGACGAUACAUCUGAGUGUUCUAAGCGAACUGUUAAAACUUUCAACAACGGAUCUCUUGGCUCCAGCAUCGAUGAAGAACGCAGCGAAACGCGAUAUGUAAUGUGAAUUGCAGAAUUCAGUGAAUCAUCGAAUCUUUGAACGCACAUGGCGCCUUCCAGUAUCCUGGGAGGCAUGCCUGUCCGAGCGUCGUUUCAACCCUCGAGCCCCCGUGGCCCGGCGUUGGGGAUCUGCCCAGGCAGUCCCCGAAAACCAGUGGCGGACCCGUUGGGCCCUUCCUUUGCGUAGUAACAUCUGCCUCGCAUCGGGAGCCUGCGGGCUAUCCGGCCUCUAAACCCCCCUCAAGCCCGCUCCGGCGGCACCAAGGUUGACCUCGGAUCAGGUAGGAAUACCCGCUGAACUUAAGCAUAUCAAUAAGCGGAGGAAAAGAAACCAACAGGGAUUGCCUCAGUAACGGCGAGUGAAGCGGCAACAGCUCAAAUUUGAAAUCUGGCUCCUUCGGGGCCCGAGUUGUAAUUUGCAGAGGAUGCUUCGGGUACGGGUUCCUUCCGAGUUCCCUGGAACGGGACGCCAUAGAGGGUGAGAGCCCCGUCUGGUAGGACACCCAGCCCGUGUGAAGCUCCCUCGACGAGUCGAGUUGUUUGGGAAU